rnacentral:rRNA from 1 species
UCAUUAGAGCGGAUGAAUGUAGCUUGCUACUGGAUUCAGCGGCGGACGGGUGAGUAAUGCUUAGGAAUCUGCCUAUUNGUGGGGGACAACGUUCCGAAGGGAGCGCUAAUACCGCUUACGUCCUACGGGAGAAAGCAGGGGACCUUCGGGCCUUGCGCUAAUAGAUGAGCCUAAUUCGGAUUAGNUAGUUGGUAGGGUAAAGGCCUACCAAGGCGACGAUCUGUAGNGAGGUCUGAGAGGAUGAUCCGCCACACUGGGACUGAGACACGGCCCAGACUCCUACGGNAAGGCAGCGGUGGGGAAUAUUGGAUAAUGGGGGGAACCCUGAUCCAGCCAUGCCGCGUGUGUGAAGAAGGCCUUUUGGUUGUAAAGCACUUUAAGCGAGGAGGAGGCUACCUGGAUUAAUACUUUAGGAUAGUGGACGUUACUCGCAGAAUAAGCACCGGCUAACUCUGUGCCAGCAGCCGCGGUAAUACAGAGGGUGCGAGCGUUAAUCGGAUUUACUGGGCGUAAAGCGUGCGUAGGCGGCCAAUUAAGUCAAAUGUGAAAUCCCCGAGCUUAACUUGGGAAUUGCAUUCGAUACUGGUUGGCUAGAGUAUGGGAGAGGAUGGUAGAAUUCCAGGUGUAGCGGUGAAAUGCGUAGAGAUCUGGAGGAAUACCGAUGGCGAAGGCAGCCAUCUGGCCUAAUACUGACGCUGAGGUACGAAAGCAUGGGGAGCAAACAGGAUUAGAUACCCUGGUAGUCCAUGCCGUAAACGAUGUCUACUAGCCGUUGGGGCCCUUGAGGCUUUAGUGGCGCA